rnacentral:lncRNA from 1 species
CCCCAUCCAUCUCCAGAAUGCUUUCACACUCUCCUGCAAAUAUGCAGCACCUUGCUACACUCCAGUUUGUUUGUUUGUCCCACAACAGAGCUGGGCUGAAUUAUUAAUGUGGACUUUGUUCAACAACGGACUAAAGAGGGAGAAGCCCAUGAACUGUGUGAGGAGUACAUGACAGGUGCUCGUGGGAUGACAUGGCUCGGCGCCCUCCAGCUGCUGCUGCCGCUGCCUGUCCUGCUGGGUGGCCACCUCCUCUCAGGGAAGAAGAGCACUCACAACUGCUGCUGAUCUCCUUCCAGGGCUUCCGCUGGGACUAGGAUCAGGAUGUGGACACCCCCAACCUGGACCAUCUGGCCGGGGAGGGCGUCAAGGCCAAGUACCUCAUGCCGCCCCUUGUCACAAUGACCUCCCCGUCCCACUUCACUGCCAUCCCAGGCAGAGAGCUGAUCAAAACAGCAAAAGCAAAGCAGUGCCCCUGGCCCAGUUCUGAAGCCAACCUUCCUUAAUCACCCAGACCCAUCACUGGUUAGGACUUGCUGUGGAUUCUCAGGUGAUUCCAUCUCAGGAUACAGGGACUGAGACGGUGUAUGCAACAUCUCAGACCCAGAAACCGUUGAUUCUGCCUAAAAACAGAGCAAUAACCACAUCCCAUCCUCUUGAUUUAAAUGAAAGGUUAUGGGGGAAUAAAAGAUGAA